AGUAUGUGAUCCCACUGAGUAAAGCAGAGAAGAGGGUGGAAAAAAUUUGGCAGAAAAGAAAAUUUGGUGUGACCAUUAUCAUACACCUUCAUCUCUCUCACCCCAUUCUCCUGUGCACCUUUCUUCCACUAGAAUAUUUCUUGGAUUCACUUUCCUGUCUGUGACUCUCAUGGGGACAAUGACCCAUCAUGUCUAUGAAUUUCUCUUUCUUCAAAAACAUAAACACUAACAAACAAUUAAUUAAUCUCUCACACUCUUUCUUUUUUCCAUGGUCACUCUCAUUACAACCUGCAAGUCCUUUUUCGUCUUUACAGUUUUCGUUUUCUUUAUAACUCUGCUCGCCACUCUUGCAUCUCUUCAGCGCAGGAAUCAAUAAAACCACCCCAGAAUUAGGGUUUCUGCCACCCAUGCUUUUCAGUUUUAGCUCUAAGGAAAAAAAGAUGUACAUGUACUGCAGAGUUCCAUUACAGCUUAGUCACAUUGGGAAGGAAAGAGAGUGAAGGAGCUUCCCUCAGCCCAUUCAUGGACACAGAAUAAGAUUGGGUUGCAAAAUUAACCACUAAUUGAUUCACACAAUAGUAUUGAGUUAGGGUGAUGCUGUUUUUGCUGUGAUAUGAUUGUGUGAAUGAAGUGGUGCAUAUAUAUUGUGACCCUCUUUCUCUGUGCUUGGACUGAAGGGAGCUCCUUCUUUCUGUUGCCUCCAUUUGUAUCCAUCUCUGAGAUGGCUUUAUGCAUGUCUAAGCUUAAUCUAUAUAUACUUAGCACAAAAAAGGUGAGACCAGUACACUGUAGCUGAUGUUACAUAUCAUCUUCUGGAUCUUUGUAAGUAUCUACUCUCUGCCAAAACUGCACAAGAUUCAGCAAAAACAUCUGCACAGUUGCAUAUGAACAGUUAUAUACAUGCACUAAUUUCUUUAGCUUAGUCUUUAAAAAUGAUCACUACAUAUGAAUUUAUGUUAUCACUUUGUACACAAAACUCUAUGCCACUUCCUUUCAGGUUAUUUGGUACCAGUUUCUCUUCGAUCUCUUUCUCUCUACAGUACUUUUCUGAGUUCUUCCUUUGGGGUUUGGGAAAGCAAAAUUUAGGUUAAAAUGAGUGUGAAGAAAGGAGAAUAUUAGUAUGGAGUGAGAAGAAAAAGCAUUGAAGGUGUGCAUUACUCAUUUCAAUGCACCAAUUAUUCCAUCUCUUUCAUUUUCCAAGGUGUGAGUAAAGAAAUGCUGCUAUAGUCCACGUUGGGAUGUUCCUUCUGGCUUUAACACAGAGCAAAAUGCAUUAGUUAAAUAUUGAUUCUCCUCUACACUCAGAGAAGUGCACCUGCAAAUUUUCAUUAAACAUAUUGAAUGGCAUUAACUAUAAACAGUAAUCUGUUAUGUCUUUUUUUGCCUAGAACAGAUAGUUUACCCUAUAAUAAUGAGAUUUAGUGUAAAUGUGGCUUUGAAAUUAGUGAUAAAUACUUCUGACAUGUAUGCAGCAUAAAGCUGAAACUAUUCUGGUUUUUCCUCAACUUCACUGGGAACAUUUGAAUUAGUGUACAGUCAGGUGUGUGCCACCCCAUAUUAAAUUUCAUAUAUAGAAGAAAAAAUAUACAAAUAUUUUA